rnacentral:sRNA from 1 species
UCAAUGUUUGAGUAUCCUGAAAACGGGCUUUUCAGAACUUUGAUACAAUACUUUAUUUUAGGAGUGCAUAGUGGCCCGUAUAGCAGGCAUUAACAUUCCUGAU